ACAUACGACCAUACCUGUUGGAAAACUUGGGAUCACGUCCGCUCUCCCCUAAAUAAGCCAACAAGGGCCGGAUCAGUAGUUGGGUGGGUGACCACCAGCGAAUACCUGGUGUUGUAUGUU
rnacentral:rRNA from 1 species